GCAGAACUUGUGUUCGAUUUGCUGAGAUAUCUGAGCGAAAAGAUAUUUGGAUUCUUCUUA
rnacentral:tRNA from 1 species